rnacentral:rRNA from 1 species
UACGGGGGGUGCGAGCGUUAAUCGGAAUUACUGGGCGUAAAGGGUGCGUAGGCGGUUCGAUAAGUUAGGUGUGAAAGCCCUGGGCUCAACCUGGGAUUUGCAUUUAAUACUGUUGAACUAGAGUAUAGGAGAGGGCAGUGGAAUUUCCGGUGUAGCGGUGAAAUGCGUAGAUAUCGGAAGGAACACCGGUGGCGAAGGCGGCUGCCUGGCCUGAUACUGACGCUGAGGCACGAAAGCGUGGGGAGCAAACAGG